AAGCGGUGGAGCAUGUGGUUUAAUUCGAUGCAACGCGAAGAACCUUACCUACUCUUGACAUCCAGAGAACUUUCCAGAGAUGGAUUGGUGCCUUCGGGAACUCUGAGACAGGUGCUGCAUGGCUGUCGUCAGCUCGUGUUGUGAAAUGUUGGGUUAAGUCCCGCAACGAGCGCAACCCUUAUCCUUGUUUGCCAGCGAGUAAUGUCGGGAACUCCAGGGAGACUGCCGGUGAUAAACCGGAGGAAGGUGGGGACGACGUCAAGUCAUCAUGGCCCUUACGAG
rnacentral:rRNA from 1 species